AUGAACGAAUACCUGCAUCAUGGAAACAAUGUCAUUUGCAAACUUUUUGAACCUGUGCUGGGCGUUCACAUUGACAUUUCUUGUUCAACAGGAAUACAUGAUGUCGACCAACAGUACAGCUAGAUGAAGAUAUAAAUUUAUUCAAAGAAAUAAUGGGACAAUGAAUGCUAAAAUUGCCAAGAAGAAGACUGCCAAUUUACAUACCAUUUUAUACAGUUACAGUAUGAUAUGGUGAACAAAAAGCCCUCAAUGCAGCCAGUUCUGGAGCUUUGGCUAGACUAUGAACAGUAGACUUCAAAAGAUGAUCAUCUGAAGGGCCACAAUUGUUUAAAGCACUGGUCAACAAAAACUGAACUAUUUGAUGGAUCAUACAUGUGCAGAAUGUACUACCAUAUUUCCAGAAUCAGAGAAAUAGAAAUAUCAAGUAUUAGAGAGAAAGAAAAGUAUGCAUCAUGUAUGAAGAACUGCCUAAGAAUAAUUUGCAAAAUACAUCGAAAUCUAACAAUUGCAUAAUGCAUAUGGAAGUUAAGAAAGGUGUACUCUUUUGGAAAAUAUGUGUCCAGUACAACAUUUCUUUUUCAAUUUUGUGAGCAUAAUUCUACAUAAAAAGUGUAACAUGGCUACAGGGAUAAUACAAAAGGUUUAAUCUUAUUUCCAAAUACAUUGGGGGAGUCAGAG